GCUCGCUCCCAGUGGCGUCCGGAUGGGGGGGGGGAAGGGGGACAGGCCUUCGGACGCCGCAGUCGCCGCCGCCUCUCUCUCCUACUUCCCGGUUUCUGCAGCCUCUAGGUACUUCACAUGGAUAAAAUUGAAUAGGAGAAAAAGUUGAGCUGGAUUGCAUUUGGGAAUUUGUACGGUACUUUCAUUGAUCUCAAGCUUGCAUGCUGCCGCAUCUGAUUUUCUCCAGGGCAUCUGGCAUAAGUGUAAAGCCAUAUCAUAAACUGCAGAAGAAAGAUUGACCUUUGGACAUUGGUGAUGAAACUCUAAGGACUCAUUUGAGCUGCUAAAGGCAUAUAUAAAUGAAGAAAAAUUUACAACUACACAAGAUUUAAGUGUCCUUCCUUCACCACGGGUCAUUAAAGUACCUUCUAGAACAGAUCCUUUGGGGAUUACAUCAUCAAAUAUUAUGUGUAAUAUGAGUGGAAAAGGUCCUGCCGAAAGCUUCAGUGUUAAAGAUAAGAAUAAUACACCAUCCAUGGCAAUCCAACAAGUAGAAGAAGAAGAACAGCUGUGUAUCUGGGCUGUCGUGAAACCUGGGAACCCAGUCUCGGGAAUGUGCCUCCCCGGCUUCAUUGCCAACAGACAUGGAUUUCCAUAUGGACAAUGUGGCAUUAGAGCCAAGUCAACAGACUGCUGUGAAAACAAGGAGUAG
rnacentral:lncRNA from 1 species